rnacentral:rRNA from 1 species
AGAGUUUGAUCAUGGCUCAGGAUGAACGCUAGCGACAGGCUUAACACAUGCAAGUCGAGGGGCAGCACGGUGUAGCAAUACACUGGUGGCGACCGGCGCACGGGUGAGUAACACGUGUGCAACCAACCCCGUACCGGGAGAUAACCCGCGGAAACGUGGACUAACAUCCCAUAAGACUCUAGAGCCGCAUGGCUCUGGAUUUAAAAUUCCGGUGAUACGGGACGGGCACGCGCGACAUUAGGUAGUUGGCGGGGUAACGGCCCACCAAGCCGACGAUGUCUAGGGGUUCUGAGAGGAAGGUCCCCCACACUGGAACUGAGACACGGUCCAGACUCAUACGGGAGGCAGCA